GGUGUUGUUGCACGGGCAGUGACUGGAUGAGCUGUUGGAAGUGACGGGCGUCGGGUGUUGGGACGUCGAGUUGGUCGAGGACGACGGGUGGCGGCAGUGUUCCAGGAUUUUCCAUCCAGGGAAUAAUAUUGGCCAGUUCCACACCUGGAAUGAAAACCCUUGGUCCUCCAGCGACUACCGAGUUUUUCCACAGCUGAUGCAGCCACUGACUGUUGCUGGAAUUCAUUCCAGUGUCGUUGAUAGUCACGUUUGAUAAGAAAGUAAGAUUUUUAAAAGGGUGCCAGUGCUGUACCUUGGAGGGUGAAAGACAGACCGGUGGAUUUGUCUUCUUCAAGUCCCAUAUUCCGCAUGGAAAUGGUCACAGUUUCCGGCUGUUGGUCCUCGACGUGCCACUGGAGAGGAGGGACGUCUCCGAUGCGACCACAGAUUCUGUUGUAUCCCAUAAUGAAUCAUUUUAUUUUUAAGCAUUGGCCGGACGGUUGUUUUUACGGUAAUAAUCCUCGUCGUAUCCGCUGCUGUUUAAGGAUGUGGCCAAAGUUGUCUCUGCCAAGGAAAUGAUUUAUUUACCUGCCACGGUGACGGAUAAAACGAGGCUGAACAACAAGACGAGAUGGCGCAUUUCGAGUAUCAACUGAAAUUCACCUUUCGCAAUUCAACGCAACGAAAAUGUAGGAAACUUGUUGAAGAUGUUGAUAUGCUUCAGAGACUACAGUUGGAGAAACACUGACUGCUGGAUGAGGAGCGGAAGGAAACAAAUGAAAACCAGCACGGCGCUGCUAGUUUCCAGGACGUUUUCUGUUCUACAAUAACAACAUAACUUACGCGCUUAAUUUGUCACGUGGUG